rnacentral:pre_miRNA from 1 species
UAUAAGGGAUUUUAAGUUUUUGCUUGCAACGUUUGACCAUUCGUCUUAUUCAAAAUUUUUUAAAAUUAUUAAUUAUUUUAUUUGUGACUUUUGAUUAUCUAUAGUACUUUAAGCAUAAUUUUUCGUUUUUUAUAUUUACAAAAAGAAUUUAAAUAAGACAAGUGGUCAAAUGUUGCAAGUAAAAAACUGAAAAUCCCUUAUA